rnacentral:rRNA from 1 species
AGUGAACGCUGGCGGUAGGCCUAACACAUGCAAGUCGAACGGCAGCACAGUAAGAGCUUGCUCUUACGGGUGGCGAGUGGCGGACGGGUGAGGAAUAUAUCGGAAUCUACUUUUUGGUGGGGGAUAACGUAGGGAAACUUAAGCUAAUACCGCAUACGACCUACGGGUGAAAGCAUGGGAUCUUCGGACCUUGCGCGAUUGAAUGAGCCGAUGUCGGAUUAGCUAGUUGGCGGGGUAAAGGCCCACCAAGGCGACGAUCCGUAGCUGGUCUGAGAGGAUGAUCAGCCACACUGGAACUGAGACACGGUCCAGACUCCUACGGGAGGCAGCAGUGGGGAAUAUUGGACAAUGGGCGCAAGCCUGAUCCAGCCAUACCGCGUGGGUGAAGAAGGCCUUCGGGUUGUAAAGCCCUUUUGUUGGGAAAGAAAAGCAGCAGGUUAAUACCCCGCUGUUCUGACGGUACCCAAAGAAUAAGCACCGGCUAACUUCGUG